UACGUAGGGUCCGAGCGUUGUCCGGAAUUACUGGGCGUAAAGAGCUCGUAGGUGGUUUGUCGCGUUGUUCGUGAAAACUCACAGCUCAACUGUGGGCGUGCGGGCGAUACGGGCGGACUCGAGUUCGGCAGGGGAGACUGGAAUUCCUGGUGUAGCGGUGAAAUGCGCAGAUAUCAGGAGGAACACCGGUGGCGAAGGCGGGUCUCUGGGCCGAUACUGACGCUGGAGGAAGCGAAAGCGUCGGGGAGCAAACAGG
rnacentral:rRNA from 1 species